rnacentral:tRNA from 1 species
GUCCGGGUGGCGGAAUUGGUAGACGCCAGGGAUUUAAAAUCCCUUACCCUUCGGGUGUGCGGGUUCGAUUCCCGCUCUGGACACCA